rnacentral:rRNA from 1 species
UACAGAGGUCCCAAGCGUUGUUCGGAUUCACUGGGCGUAAAGGGUGCGUAGGCGGUCGGGUAAGUCUGAUGUGAAAUCUCACAGCUUAACUGUGAAACUGCAUUGGAUACUAUCCGGCUAGAGGAAUGGAGGGGAGACUGGAAUACUUGGUGUAGCAGUGAAAUGCGUAGAUAUCAAGUGGAACACCAGUGGCGAAGGCGAGUCUCUGGACAUUUCCUGACGCUGAGGCACGAGAGCCAGGGGAGCAAACGGG